rnacentral:lncRNA from 1 species
CAAAAUCCGAUAUUUUGGGGUUCAUAUCUCCAUCUAAUAAUAUAUUGCUAGCUUUGAGAUCACGGUGUAUAAUUCGUAGACGAGAAUCUUCAUGAAGGUAAACCAAUCCGCGUGCUAUUCCUCCUAUAAUCUUGUAACGUUUUGACCAAUCCAACACUUGUCGUUUUUCUGAAUCUUAACAUCCAUUAAGAGAAUGAAUCAAGUUAAUUUCCAUUGACUCUCAACAUGGUUUUUAAAGGCCAGUCUCAAAAAUGAGAACUAAAAGGCCUUAACUAGAAAAUUUAUAUUAUGUAUAGGGAAUUAGGGAUGGCAAAAAAAUCCGCAAACUUGCAACCCGUGCGACCCCACCCCAAACAGGACGGGGAUUACUUGCUUAAUUGGGUAUCUGGCUCGGGGAUGGGGGAAGAGACUUCGCGCACGGGUAAUAAGGGCCUGCCCUGUUUAAUCCACCUUCUUUUCUUUUUUUUUUCUUUUUUUUUUUUUAAAGAGAAUUCAGUACGUUUAAUGAAAAAUUUCACAAUAUAUAAUUCUUUCUAAUAUAAGAUGGCAAGUUGAUAACUAAGAUUAUUUAAGAAAUAUGACAAACAAUAAAAGUUUUAAUUUAUCAAAUAUAUUUGAAUAAUUUAAUUUUUAAAAAUAAAUAAAUAAAUUUUAAAGAUUAAUAAAUAUAUUAUUGUCCCACAGUCCACUUUAACGAGUAGGGGGGCAAUAAUAUAAAUUAUUAAAAACUGAAUUAUUUGAAAAAGAAAAUUGCCCCUCCCUGCCUAAAAUGAGUAAGAGAGUGGGCAAGUGUUGGAUAUUACAUGGCGGGGCGGGGUUGGAGCAACCUGCCCCGUUGCUAGCCCUAAUUAUGUAUCUAUAUAUUUUCUUGGCUGAAAUAUUUUUUCUCGGCAUCCAAUGUAUAUGAAUUUCAAUAUAAAGAAGAGAAAGGAAGUAAUCAUGUCAAGAUUGAUGCUAACCGAAUAGAAAAUAAUCAAGGCUUUUAUUGGGCACGUAUUCAUAAACAAGUAUCUUCUCUUCUCCUUCGAAGCAAAAUCCAAGGAGUCUUACUAGAUUUCUGUGUUGAAGCUUGGCAAUAAGUACAACCUCAUUCUUAAAUUCUUUUGCACCUUGUCCCGAACUUUUGGAAAGUCUCUUUACAGCUAUUUCUUUUCCAUUUAUGAAAGUACCCUACAAUCACGUUAAACAUAGUAUCAUACACCACAGUCCGUCAAAUACUGUAUAGCCGGACCUACCAAACAAAUUAUACCUGUGAUAGGGAUUGUUAAAACAUUGUAAAUGAUAAAUAUAAAGUGAUAAACCUGGUACUUAGAAUUAUACUCCUUCACGUACCUUGUAGACACUACCAAAUCCACCUUCACCAAUUUUGUUGUCAGCAGAAAAGUUGUUGGUAGCAAGCGCAAUAGUAUUCAAGUCAAAUUGCAAGGAUUCAACCGAUGAAAUCUCAUUUCCUUUGUCUACAUACAAAAAAUAGCAAAUCAUUACAUAAUUUUCUUUAAUCUAGGAGUGAGGGAACAAGUGAGACACUACGAUUUUUUUCUUAUCAAUUUCUUAUUGUCUUAUAUUGAAGAUGCAAUACUGAAAUGAAUGCACUAGACAAAAACUGCAGAACAGGUAGGAAAAUAAUAUGUUAAGAGCCGACAGAAAAUCCUAAAUUAGUUCUNNNNNNNNNNNNAAUCUUCUAGAUGAGUUGGUUCCAUCUAGUAUCUCAAUAGUGAAAUAUGACCGAAUGGGAAUCUUUUUCUUCUACUUUUCCUUGCUCGUAUCUUACCAUUUUCCUCACUCACAGCAUCAUAAGGUUUCUUCCUUGUUCUCCUUUUCAAGAAGCAGCAGCCUAUGAUGAAGAAAAGCACAAAGGAUACUGCAACUGGAACAACAAUGGCAAUAACUUGUUUUGAAAUUCUUCCAUUUCCUGAAUUGGAAACACAUAAGAGGAAGAGAAACGAUAAAUUUUCUUGUCGAAAUCUUCCACUGAAUAACUAGGAGAUUAACUGAGAUAUAUCCCUUGUUAUGAUCACUUCGGACUUAUAUUGAUGCUUAUUGCUUAACUAUUUCGUUAUAAGGAAAAAGAAAAAAAAUAAUCUUUUUUUUCUCGUCGAAAUCCAUGUUUAUAAAAGAAUGUAUUGCUUAAGAAUCAAGACGUUACCUUGACUGGUUGUAGAAGGCAAGGGAGGCGGUGGCUGAAUAGGAGGAAUAUUUGGAGUAGGCGAUGGUGCAGGGGCCAAAGUAGAAUUAAAGAAGGGGUAUGUCUCAUACCUAAUAUUACAGCUUUCAACAAUAACUCUUCCUCCUUUCUUAUUAUCACAACAUGUUCUUAAUCGCGGGAUCGCAUUUCGAAGGCAGAUGUCACAAUCUCCACUUGUAAGAUCUGGCGUGCACUGUGCCAGUGUAUACAAUCUUUCAAAUUCCGUGAAGUUAGCUAUUUUUGUAGCAAAUUUCUUACCGGGGAGAUUACUAUUAACUGCUUCCGUUGCUAUUUCAUUCAUCGUCUCUCCUAAUAACUGUCUGAACCUAUUGGGUUCUGUAAUGUUCUCCAUAUUAUACAGGUAUACAAUGAACGACUGCUCGACCCUCGAGAAUAUAGAUUCAUUUGAGUAGCGUAACAUGCAAUAGUCGUACCUGUUUCAACAAUAUUUAAAUGAAUAUAUUGAUAACUUCAACUUUUGAUAAAAUAAACAGUUAUACCAGAUAGUUGCCCGUUUUUCCUCGGGACAAAGUUGUAGGACUUCAGUUGUAGCAUUUUCCACACAUUGUUGGCAGGCAUCGGUAUUAACAUCGCCCCUACAUAGAAAGAGACCGUAGACGGUGUUGGGAGGGCCACGGCCGACCAUGUCAUUGUAAAAUCCGUUCUCCCGGGUGGCGUUUGAGGAUAAAGUGAGGAAAAGCUGAUUCAAGUUGGAUCGAUAGGUGCUAUUAGGACUGUACGUUGUUGUAUUUGGGCAAUAAUGGUAAAGAGGAUCCGAUCUAAUUCUUGUGCUGAAGCAGAGAAUGUAAAAUAAGCAAAAAUAUGUAGAGAUUAUGAGGGCUGACAUGGUUAUCCUUAAAGAUUAAAAAUAAAAAAAAAAUCUGCUUAUAAUUUUGAUAUCUUUUCAAAUAGAAAUGGAUUUUUAUAGGACGUGGAAGGAGCGGUGAGCGAAGACUUGAUGUUCCAGUCAAUGAAAUAUUGCAAGAUCUUUUGGUUGUCUUGGUCCUUAUGGAAAUUAAUAAAGAUGAUAGGAACCAGAUUAGACUAUUGAUGGAGAAAGGACUGAAUAAUGUUGAUUUUUAUAUGGUAUAGAAUUUACGACUCUUAAUAUUUCAACUGUCCACACGUGUGUUCAGUUUCAUAAUAGUCUGGCACUUGAAAAUCACAGCCAGCCUGUUACUAGCCGAGCGUUGUGGUCCGGGGCAGACCCACUUGAGGCCCAAGGGGGUCAGCCGCCCCCACUCGAUUUUCAAAUUUUUUAUUUUUCUUGAGGUUUUUUCAGGUUUUCAAGAUUUUUUCUAUGAUAUUUUGGUUUCGCCCCUUAAGUUUUUUGGUUUCGCCCCCACUGAAUUUUCAUCCUGGAUCCGCCCCUGUGGCGAAGACAAAGUAUGGCCCGCUUGUACGGAAAAAGUACUUAUAACUAACCUUCCGCUAAUCACACAACUUCAAAAGUGGUUUCAUGUCUGGAAAACAUCCAGUAACAUAACUAUCCAAGCAAUACCCCUCAAGCAUCUUCAACAUCAUGCACAUCAUCAUUCUCGUACAAAUUAUAGGUGAAAAGGUCUGCACAUGUCUUGAGGAAUCAAAAUAAGUAACGUGUUGCAGUGAAAGAUACAAAUAUUUAGAUGACAAGCAACUAAAAGUAAGAAGAGAAAAGCAGAGAAAUUAGUUUUAAGACUUUUCAGCGACUUGUUUUGUCUCUUCUUUUCGGCCUUUUUGCGAGUACCACUUUUAACAAGCGCGCUCCUCAGUAUUUUACAUCGGUUUGUGCUUGAUAUACAUAAUUUAUGUACAUAGAGAUGUUCAUACCCCUUACAUAGAAUGAGACUAGUCUCGAAUACCACCUUUAAUAAGCUUGUUCCUCAAUAGGGUUGUGCUUUAUGCCACCUCAUGUAAGGGGUGUGGAUACCUGUAUGUACAUAAAUUAUGUUAUCUAACCUCAUGUGAAGGGUGUGGACAAAAUAAAAAAUAUGACCGUUAUUCAUAACAUCAAACCACCAUAUUUGAUUUUUUAUUUUUUGUGUGGACCCAUAACGACUAUAUUUUUCAUUCUCAUUUUUACAAUAAUGUGCUCAAACGGGGCUUAAUAUGGCUAGCUUUACUUUCAAACCAAGUAUUGUAAGUCAAACUUAUAUUAAAAAUGAUUAUACUUUUUUAUAUUAUAUUUUUCACAUAUAAAUAAAUAUUUUAAGUUCUACCAAACACACGCUAAGUAAUAUCGGUUAUUUUGAUUGGGUAAUAUGACAUGAUGAAGACUAAAAAAAUUGAAUAUAAUAAUAGAAUUUUGAAAAUUAGGUUCAUAGUUUUCAAACUCGAUGUGAAUGUUGACUGACCAAGCCUUCAAGUCACCGGCUCAUUUGUCGAACCGAUGGACCAUUGGUCCGAUUGAGGGGUCUAAUAUUCAAGUAGUAGCCCGACUUUUAAACUUCGACUAAUGUCUACAAAAAAUCUCAAAUCCAUCCCAAGAUAAUGCAACGAUAUAUUAUUGUGACCCUGUCCUUCAAAAGUAGAUUCAUGAAUUUUACUGAUUAUAACAAAAUAUAUUAAAAAAAUGUUUACUAGUGAGAUGAAAUAUUUUUUGCUUAAUUAUAUGAAUUUUGAAAGUAUGCUUGAUGCAAUACUUUUGAAAAUAAGAUAAAUCUUCUUAGGAUAAUAAUUAAGUUCCAUGGCUACAUAGCAUUACUCUAAUAUUAUUCUUGGUAAAUGGCACAAUGCUUUGAAAAUAAAAUGAGAGAGUGUAAUAAAUAUUUAUUAGUGGUAGAAACUAUCAUUUCCUGACAAUCUAAUUAUAACAAGGAUUAAUUAGGAUUUAGGCAACAGCAAUGUACCUGGGCCGUACAAAGAAAAAUAUGCAUUAGAAAAAGAAAUUGCAAUAAAACUAGCUUUUGCUUUUCAAUCCGUCAUGUUUCCCUUCCUCCAAACCCAGCUUUACAUAUUAAAUAACUUAAUCUAUACCCCAGCCCUUGUUUGAGCCUCAUUUUUGGGAGAAAAAUGAAUUUUUGAAUAGUGUAUUGAUGGGAAAUAUGUGAUUAUAAAAUAAGGAAAAAAUUUAAAUUUACGUGUAAUAUUAUUUUAUUGAAGAAUGUGUGGUUAAAAUACUGUUAAAAAUACAUUUUUUUUUUCAAAAGAAUGGGGCUCAAACAAACUGACACAUACACACACAAUUUAUUUGUGGCUUGGGUAACAAAUGUCCUCUCGAAACCCCAAAACCUAAGUUAUGCUCAAUUUGUUUUUGCAUUUAUGAAUUAUGAGUUACAAUUGAAGUUAACUUUCAACGGCCUACUUGAAGAAAAUGUCGAUGAAGAUGGGUGAUCGAGCAAAUAAUCAUAAUUUUAAGAAGAUAAUGAUACACACAUGCAUAGCUCCAACUCCAACUCUUUCUCUCAUUGAUGCUAACUUGUGCAAAUCUUCUACUCGUAUUAAUGAUCAAAAUGAAUUUAGUUGAUGUCCAACAUGUUGAAGAGUUAAAACACAAAAUUUUCUGAAACUUGAAGGACUAUAAAAAUAGUCAAAGUGAUGAAAAACGAAAACAUAUGAACAAAUUAAUUAAUUCCAUCAAUCUUAUUUAAAUAUAACCAAUAAAAAUAUGACCAUUUCUACAAAUCAUAAAGAUUAAAGGUUUGAAUCAACUUCAUAUAUUGUGUAAUUUAUGCUUUAGCCCAUGGUCUUGAUUAGUCACUGUUUGACCCUCACUUUUAAAAUUUAUUUUUGAUUUUGGAUCUACAACUUUAAUCAAUAUUCAACCACAUAUUUCAUCAUUUCUUUUCAUCAAAAUUUACUAUAAGUAUAAUUUUUAACUAAAUCAAACAGUGACUUAAUCUCGAGAUGCACGUGCAGUGUUAAAGAUUGGAUAAACAUGUCCAGUGGCGAAUCUAGAAUCAAAGUUCAGCUAGGGCGGACGUUGACUGUCAACAAUUAACGAUCGUAAUAACGAUGUCGUUUAUUAAUAUUUACUUUAUUAUCUAGUGUUUCAAUUAAAAUUGAUUCUAAUAUUUUCCUUUUUAUCUCUUUUCCCAUCUUAUUCAAAUGCAUUCUCUCUUUCCCCUUCUUAAUUCUUAUUCUUCCAUCUCUUCUCUCAAGACAGACCACAGUCUAGUCUCACUUGGUCACUGAAUACCUUUCAUCUGAGUUCUACACAUUAUUCUUCUACUUUAUUCUCUUACAAUCAUAAUAAAUAAGUUAAUACAUACCAAAAGGGGAAAAAUGGCGACUGGACUUACCGUUAUAGACUACAGUCAAUAAGGAUAUAAGAAAGUCAGAAAUUGAAUUCUGCAUAAAAUCGAGGAAUUUAAGGAUUUUGCUUUCCUGUAUCAAUCAAACAUUUUAAUUUCAAUGUAUUUAACUAUUAUUAUAAAACUCAGGAAAAGAGAAACACUGAGAAACACCUUCUUUUCUUCCAAUUUGUCGUGCCAAAAACAGAGUUGGAGAGGCAGGCAAGCAGCGUCAAGUUUUUCCAAUGGCAGCAGCAGUAAGACGGAACUGCGACGGUGAGCAGUGCUGUAGUUUUCUUCCGCUUGCAAAUGUAAUUGAUUUUUUUCAAUUGGAAUGCCAAGUAAUGGUGGGAAAUGGAAUUCAUAAUUGAGAUUUGGGCCUGAUUUUAUUUUAAAAAAAACAAGAGGCUCAAAAUUUAAACGUAAAAAGCCCCAAAACUUAAACAAAAAAGGCCCAAAACUUACCUACGUGUUGUUUCAUCUUCCUCCACUUCUCCAUCGGCGGUUACUGUAAAUUUCAUUUGGCGGCCACUGUAAACUCCGGCGGAGCUAGCACGCGCGAUCGCACCCCCUCCCGGGUACUGGCUCCGCCACUGGAUAUGUCACAUUCCAAAUGUUCUAGUUGGCUUGAAAUGUGAAUAAUCUAAACAAAUGUGUGGUAUGACUAGUCUUUGAAUGUGAACAUUCAUUUGAGAUUUAGAUAGAUCGAAUUGUUGGUUAGAAUUUUAAUAAACUCUAAUAUUAUAUUAAAGACUCGUUUGGCAAGGCUUUUGAAUAGUUAAAAAUUAUUUAUAGGACUAAGAAACUAUUUUUGGACACGUUUAGUGCUUGUUUGGUAGAGAUUUUGAUAAUUGAUAUUUUGACCGGUAGAAAUAAAGUGGAUCCUACCUAUAAGAGAAGAAUUCAAAAAUUACGACUGUAAUAAUGAAAUAACGGUCAAAAAUUGAUUUUAAUUGACUUUUUAAGUGUACCAAACAAGCUCAACUAAUUUUCUUGAAAAAAAUAGACCAAAUGUGGCUUCCCCAAGAAAUUAUUCUACAAAAAGCAAAAGGAGAAGUCCAGCCAAACGAGUCUUAAGACUUGAUCUUUCGCCCUUGUUUGGGCUCCAUUAAAAUUUAAUGCAUUUUUCCCUUUCCAAUUUUUAUUAAUACAUUUUUCAAUAAAAUAAUAUUUUACGUAAUUAAAAAAAUAUCUUAUUUUUUAAUCACAUGUUAUUGAAAAAAAUUACUAUUACAAAAUAUAUUUUUCCUAAAAUUAAAUUUUAAUGGAGUUCAAACAGGAAGCUUCAUUUUAAAAUUUCAAUCUGGUUAAGAGGAUAGUUCAAAUAAUUAUAUGAUUGUUAAUAUUUCGAUAUUUAAUUGAAGUGAAAUCUAUCGAUGUCCAGUUAAGUAUUAACAUAGUCAAUAUCUCAGAAUAUUGUAAAUGUUUUUCGAUGUCAAUGUAAUGGAAAGACAAUUGAUCUGUAGGUUUGCUUUUGCAAAUUGUUUCAAUAUCUAUAAAUAAUUUGUAAUUUGUCUCUUCUGAUUUAAACUUCCUCGUCUCAAUUUCUAUAGACUAAUUAAGGGGUUCAUAUUUAGCCCUCGUUUGACCCCCCAUUUUGUUGGAAUAGUGUUUUUUUUUUUUGAAUGAAUAGUUGGAAAAUAAGGAAAGGUUUUUGGUUUCACACAAUAUUAUUUUACGAAAGAAAGAAAUAAAAUUUAAUAGAAUGAAAAUUAAUGAGGGCUAAACGAAGGCUUAACUUCCACCAGCCAAAUGGCCCCUAAGUUUAAAAUAUUCAUGCAAAGAUCAGUGCUAACAUUUUCUUGACAAAGGGAAGUGCCUUCGGAAAUUAUUCACAUUGGCUUCAUAGUUAUAGGUUAUAGCUGGUUUUUGGUCACACACCAUCCAUCGAGGGCAGUGGUAUCAAAAUAGACGAGCAAGUUCAAAUUGACCCACCUUCAUUCAGUCUCGGGUAAAGUGAAUUGCGGUCUGACCAAUGUAAAUUGGGUAAAGAUACUUGGAUGGCCAGGGCCAAUUCAACUAUAAAAAUAAAAGUUAAAGAUGUAUAGAAAAAAUUAUAUGUAAAUAAUUUCACUAGUUCAUAAUUUUAGCUAAGUUCGAGGAUUAAAUCCAGAAAUGGUCACCCAACUUUAAUUUAAUAUCGUCACGGUCACUCUAUUUGAUUUUGUUUCACCAUGACCAACCAACUUUAUACUUAGUUUUACCAUGAUCACCCAAUUUCAUAUAAUGUUUUACCAUGGUUAUCCAACUUCUUUUCACCAUUUUCCCUAUUUUUAAAAGAGGUAAAACGGUAACUUUGUGUUAUAUAUAAAAAGUUAAUUAAAAAAAUAAAAUUCUUUUUUUUAAAAUAACUUUUUUUUAAUUUUAUUUUACUUUUCUACGUAAUUUUUAAAAAAAAUAAGUUUUUAUUUUUUUUUAAAAAAUUUAUAUAUAAUGUAAAGUUGCCGUUUUACCCUUUUUAACAUUUAGUGAAAAGGGUGAAACGAUGUUGGGUAGCCAUAAUGAAAUGUUAUAUGAAAUUGGGUAGCCAUUGUGAAAUAAAAUAAAAUUGGAUGAUUAUGGUGACACUAAGUAUAAAGUUAGAUGAUCAUGAUGAAACAAAAUCAAAUUGAAUGGUCAUGAUUACACUAAGUAUAAAGUCAGGUGACCAUUGGUGGAUUUAAUGCUAAGUUUGAUGAAUUAGUAAGACUUGCUUCCUUUGGUAAAGAUAAGUUGUCUUUAUGCAUUAUUUGUGCUUUUGAUGACAAUAUAGAUUUCUCUAUCUUGGAUAUGGUUCAGUAAUUGAUGCUUCAUUGAUAGAGAAGGUUGUCGUGGAUUUGUCCUAAUCUUGCACCUUAGGCAAGCUCUGUGUUCUACUAUGAAGGAAAAAUGCUCAUCGACAAGGAACAACAAGAGCAGCUGAAUAACUAUUGAGCAUCAAAAGUAUUGAAACCAUGUUUGGUCUUUAUCAACAUCUUCUUGAACACAUGGUAAGCCAAUCUGAAUGCAUGGAAAUAUUUCAUUCCUAGCAUAAACGUUUUGUAAUGUUAGAUCCAUUAAUUCCAAAGGUCUAUUGUCUCUCCGAAGCUUCCAAGCCUGCACAUCAAUUAAUGUUGAAUAUUUUAAGCUCUAAUCCUAAUUACAAAAGAAAUAAUAAGAGAAAGGAAAGUAGAAAGACAUCAUUAACAAUAUAUGUCCUCAAGAAAUAAUUUGGAGUUUGCACUUAUAUAUGUUAUGAGAUCCUUAGCACCAUCUGAUUGGUAGAAGCUGAUAUUCUUCCUACCGUUUAUGAUUUUCAAAAUAAGGACACCACGGCUAAAAACAUCAGAUUAUAAUAUUAAAUUUACUUAUAUUCCUGUGUUUUUACUAUUGUUAUUAUUGUAUUUUCAUUUAUAUGACAAAUAAAUGAUUGUGUUUAAUGAUUUGUAUAUCGUUCAAAAGAAGAUUGUACAUUUUAGGUCAAUUAAUAGAAAUCCUAGGUUCUUGUAGGGAUAUGGAUAUACCCUAACCCUAGGUGACCCAUUGAACUAUUUUCACAAAGAUUUAAUGCAGUUAUUUGAUUUUGAUCAACAUAGAGAUAUAGUAUGUUAAACCAAUUAAUUAGGAUUAAUUUCACUCGAGAGAAACAAUUAUCUAAAACUGAAAAAUCAGAUCUAACAUCAUAAAUGGAUAAUUUUUUUAAUUAGCUUGCAGAUAAAUUAAUUAGGCCAUGGUUAAAUGAAACUAUAAAUCUUAACCACGUUUUCCUCCAAAAUUUUCAAGUAUUUAUGCUUUCUUAUUUUGCAGAUUUUUAGUUCUUUUUUCUUUUUCUUUUUUCAAAAUCAAAUCUUUAUUGUGUUUGUUUUCGUUGUUAGAAUUAAUUUGAUUAAAGUUGUGUAAUUGAAAGUAAACAUUUAUUGAGAGAUAGACAAUUCGAACUCAAAAAGUUCACUUUAUUAUUUGAACACAAUCCAAACACUUGCGGUUUACACUUUCAUAGCGAACAAGGGGUGUCUGGGGAGGGGGCAAGGCCAACAAUAGCUGUAAAAUCCGUUCUCCUGGCCAUUUGCGUUGGAGGAUAAAGUGACAAGUAGUUGAUUCAAGCUGGCUCUAUAGGUGCUAUUAGGAUUGUAUGUAGUUGGAUUCGGGCAGCAUUUAUAAAGAAAUUGGAAGCUGAUUCUUUUGCUGAAGCAGAGAAUGCAAAAUUAGCAAAAAUAUGUAAAGAUGAUGAAAACUGACGUAUUUGAUCUCACAAAUUUUCCAUUUUUUUUAGUCAGAAAUGGAUACUUAUCGAAAGUGAAAGGCGUGGUAAGCGGUGAUGGAACAGUCAAUGAUAUGCAAGUCACUAGAUUGUGGUUUGUCCUUGUGAAAAUUAACAAUGAAGACAGCACUUGCGUAUUGGAUGGGGAUAAGACUAAACUACGGUAAAACUCUUGACAUAGUCUAGUUUGACAAAAUUCAAAAAUCAUUUGUAUUUAGUUGAAUUACAUUUUCAACUACACAUUUCCACGGAUCCACAAAAUACUAUUCAUUUUUAUCUAUUUAUAAAUUAAUAGUUUGUAAUUUUCCAUAGACGUGAAAAGCAAAGUCUCCUGACGCCAAACUUUUUCUAUCCAAAUCACUGGAAAGACACAGUCUCCUCUGCCAACUUUUUCUUUUCAAAAAUCACCGUACUUCAUAUAUCGGGCGAGCUAGUUUUUAAAUGGCAUGGUAAAAGACAAGUUGUUGGAAUAAAUUAGUCCAUAAUUUUUUUCGCUAAUAAAAAGACGAGAAUACAAUUGGAGUAACAACUUAUCGAAAUAAUGGUAUUUGUAUAAUAACGAACAAAUUACGGCUUUCUCAAACAUAGCAAAUGCAAAUAUUUGAAGGAGAUAAAAUGAAGCGAAUGAAAAUGGAUUUCGCCCCCUUGCAUUGGUGUUAAUAGGAUUUAAUGAACGUCUAUCUCCCAAGAUACAAUGUUUGUUCUAAAAUUAAUAUAACACAAUAUUAAUUUUGACUGGCUAACCAACGUUAGACUGUACCCUUUUAGAACGAAAGAUAUUGAAUACUAAAUAUUGAACACGCAAUUCAAAAAUAAUAUGAAAAUUAUUUUGACAUAAUUUGGAGAAAGAAAGAAUUAAGAUGGUUCUAAUUAUAUAUUUUCAUGUAUCUCUUCCCAACGGUUGCAUCUAUUGGCAAAAUUAAUUUUAACCAUUAGAUCGUACCAUUUCAUAUUUGAUGGUGUAGAGGUCACAUCCAUUCCCAAAAAACAUAAUUUUUUAACAUGCAACAUUUGCAAUUGAAAAGUCGCGACCAGUCAUCGCACCAAUUUGAGACUUUUUCAAUUCACACCUAUAAAUAUUCCAAAAAUUCCGAUAAAAAUACAUCUCAACCACCUGUUGCGAGCCAUGUGUUGUGAGCCAACUUGUUUCUGUAUUCAUGCUAUGUUAAAAGUCGGUGGUAGAAGCUCGCAUACCAUAUUUCAAUAUCCAACUUAGACGCGUCACAUCACAUGUACCGGACCCGGAUUAAUUAAGGCAGACUCGUUCGUAAAAAGAUGUCUGGAUCAUGCUUGGUGGGACAACCGAGCUCCACACUAAAGUUGUGGUACGCUCAAAAUUAUUUAUAGGGGUAUGCAAUCUGCAUCGGCCAAUUUAUGUAGACUAUUAUCUAUAUUAAGUUCCUGUUUGUUUAUUAUUUUUGGAAGAAUGAGAAUGAAAAAUAUAAUCGUUACAGGCUCUACACAAGAGAUAGAAAUUCAAAUUUGGUGACUUGAUGUGAUGGAUAACGGUCAUAUUUUUCAUUUUAAUGAUGAAAUAAUGGAAACCAAAGAGGGGCUAAAUCUCUGUCUAGAAGAAUUUAUAAAUGGUUUAGUUUAUAAUUGUAUGGUACUGAUGAAUUUCAUAAAAUAUAUGACUGAAAGUAAAGUUUAAUAAUUUAAAAUUUCGUCAAACAGAGACUAAAAAUAUUUCUUUAGAAAGCAUUACAGUUCUUUCAAAUUAUAUAUAAAGAAAAUUGUAUAUGUCAUGCCGAACAUGGUGGUGUCAACGGUUCAAAGGGCGUAGCACGCCAUGUUUCUCAUAAAUGAUUUUGAGAAUUACUCGAAACCCCUUAUGUUUCAACAGGACUAUGCUUAAAAUGCCCGACACACCUAAUUAAAGGGUAUAUCCCAUACAACGGCAGACUCGAGCUCGUCGCUUCUUUUGAAGUAUCUUGAACAUUGCCCGAAGCCCUUAUUGCUUAAGGAAUAAUAGAAAUUGGAGUGGACGACAAGGCUAAAGAAGUGACUUAAAUAUUAUGGGAUUAUUCAAUAUUGCAUAUGAUUCCCCCUCCAUGUGAGGGGGUGUAAAAAGGAUUAUGUACACCAAGAGUAUACAUAUAGAUUAAUCCCUCUUUGGAUAACUAAUUACUUAUUUUCCCACCAAAAUUAACUAAUCCAAUAACAAAACCUUUUACAACGUCAAGUUUUACUUAUUAUUAGUGCUCUUGAUGCCAAUGUAUAUUUCUUUAUCUUGGAUGUAAUUUAGUUGAUGCUUCAUUAAUGGAGAAUCCUGUCGAAGUAGAUGUGGAUUUGUCCAAAUCUUGCAUUUUGGGCAAGCUCCGUGAUUCCUACGGAGGAAAAAUGCAUGUUGACGAGGAACAGCGAAAGUGGCUAAAUAACUAUUGAAUGUUAAUAACAUUGAAGAUCAUGUUUGGUCUUUCAUCUGCAUCUUCUUGAACACAUAGAAAGCCAAUUUGAAUGCAUGAAAUUACUUCAUUCCUAGCAUAUGCGUUUUGCAAUGUUAGAUCCAUCAAUUCAAAAUGCCCAUUCUCUCUCCAAAGCUUCCAAGCCUGUACAUCAAUAGCGGUCGAAUGUUUGAAGCUUUAUGAUAUUUAAAAAAAUGGCCUCAAGAAAUAAUUUGGAAAGUAACGACCCUAACUCUAGAUGGAAUAGGAAAUAAAAAUAUUGGCUAAUAUUCAUAAAAGAUUACAAACAAAAUAAAGUCCAAAUGAAAUUAAUCGAGUCAAUUCAACUGUCCAAUUAACAAACAUAAUAAUCUUUAAGAGAGCUGCUAUUUCAUCCACAAAUCUUAUAUAUCUAUCACAUUUUUUCAAAUGUACAUUAUGUUUUUAACCUCAUGUAAAUUUAAUUAGAUAGACAAGAAUAAAACCAAAUGAAAUGUUUCCAUCUAAAUUCGUCCACAAUUUUUCUUUCAUCCUCAUUAAAUGCUUUUGGACCUUUUUUAUUCUUUUUGACGUUGCAUUUAACUAAACCAUAUUCAUAAAAUAUCUUCUUUAUGUCAACAAUUUUCUAUGUAAUAGUGAAUUUAUGUAACGUAAAUAUGUUUGAAGGAACUUCCUCAUCUUUUAUUUCAUUUCUUAACGAGUGUAUAUUAACCGGCAGAGGGAUCUUGGCACAAUUUGCUAUGUAAUUUUGCAAGAUGCUUAAAAUGUAAAUACCUCACUUAACUUGUAUUUUCUUCCUCUUUGUAUUCGUCUAAACACAUCAAUAUGAAACUAUGUGAAGUGUAAUAGGGAUAUGUUGAAAAUUAUACUCUAAAAUGAUAAAAAUUAUCAAGACCUUCGUUGAAUCGAGAUAGCCAGUUAUAAGAUUUGGUUGUUUCUCAAUUUUGGUGAUGCAUGAAAAUUCAAAGUGAAACAUAUUUUCCUGAGGGUUAAGAAAUAAUUUUUAACUUCAAUUUUGAUGUUUUUGAGCAUUGAAAACUAAUCACUGAGGUGAGUGCCCGACUAUAAACUUUAGGACCUUAUGGGAUUAGUCAAGGUGCGCGUAAGCUGAUCCGAACACUUAUGGUAUAAAAAAAAAAGAAUGCAUUGAAAACUAAUAUGCAACUACCGUGAAAUAUUGAAGUUAAGUUUCCUUUUUGUAAAGUUUGAUGACUUUCUAUUGACAUACUGCUAACUAAUUGUACAUAUAGAACGCAAAAUUUUUGGCUCCGACUUGUAUCGAAUGGACAGGGACAUGAAAUGUUAUCUUGUUGGAUAACGUUAAAUAUAUUCUUUUUAUAAGUUUGAAGAAUUUUUUUAAGUACGACAGGAGUUCUCUCUUGUUCACAAAAAAAUUGUGUGCAAGAACAUUUUAACAUAUGCAGCGUUUUCUCUUGUUCACACAAAAGCUAAAGGUCUAUUUGAUUGCGAAGAUGAAAUUUGGGUGAAAAGAAAAUGAAUUCCAAAGAAUUAAAUUACCUAGAAAUUGUUUUCUUGAAAAUUGUAAAUUAUUGUGUUUAUUUAAUAUAAUUUUUCACGUGAAAAAUGUUGAAGUAAACAUAUUUUUUGGUGUUCGUUUGACUUUGUUUUAUAUGAAAAUUGUCAAUUUAAUGGAUAUCCACUUCUAUCAUUGUUCCAAUAAUUUGUUUCCAUUGCCAACAAAAAAAUUAAAAAAAUAAAAAAAUAAAAAAGAACAACUAUAUUUUGGUAUUUGUUUGGUUUUAUUUUACAUAAAAAUUGUCAAUUUCAGGAAUGUCCUAUUUUACAAUUGUUCCUAAAAUUUGUUCCCAUCGCCAACAAUUAAAAAAAAGAAAACAAAAAGCAAAAAAAAAAAAAAAAAAGGGGGAAAAUAAAAAACCAUCUAACCCGUAGAAAUUCAUAAAAAAUCAACUCCCUGAAAAAUUUUGUCAAUCAAACAGGUCAAAAGUGAAAGUUGAAAUUCGAAUUCCAAGUUCCAUGGAAAAAUUCAUGCAACCAAACGAGGCCUAAGAGUCUCUCUCCUUCAACAAUCGAAAAUAGUAGUAGAAGUUCUAUGCACAGAACCCCUUCAUCUCAGCGUCUUUGCCUGUCCAAGAGGUAUUUCUCGUUCGAGCAUACCCUGUAUCUCGCAAUGUAUGUCCAAGACCACAGAACAUUCACCACUUCACAAUGCAACAGCCCGUGAUUUUUGGUCUCCUUACCUUUAGGUUACAGAGAACAAUUAGGAGAAAUCUUCUUCCUUCGUUUGUCAACCUCAGUUUUCAAAAUAUGAUUUCAUAGUAAUUAUUGGAAAAAAAGAGAGGCCGUCCAUGUUUGAUCAUUCCCUCUCAUGACAUCACUCUGAAUCUUUUCCAAAAGUCUAUAAUAUAAUAUAUUGAUCGAUUCAAUAGCAUCGCCCGUUUCAAACGUUGACGGUUUCUCCAAAUGAAACAUCCCUUCCAUUUUUUUGCCAACGACGAUAUUUAACAGCUUAGGAAACUCCUCUUCGAAUCCAUACCACACCAGACAUUGUUUCAAAAUUCACCCAGCUACCAUCCUUCAUCUAAAACUACAGAAAUUUACCAUAUUUCUUAACCGUCUUGUCCCGGGAGAUGGGGAAUAAGUUUUAAUAACUCAGGUUUAUUACAGUGCUUAUCACAUUGAAAACUUCCUACUCUUAUCACCUUGCAUGUUGCAGAAUGUAACGGAUACUCCAAAGCAUUAUAAAUUAACUUUCCAGAAAAUGAAAUUUACAGCAAAAAAAGUCCCAAACCAAAUUUCCCCACUGUUUUCUUCAUUAUAUAAUUCAUUCAAAUUCCUCCAUCCAGUUGAAACUCCAAGCUCAUAGCCAAGUAUUUGAGGAUAAUACUGGUCAAUCUCUGUAAUCUUUAAAAUUGAACAACCCCUUUAUGGGAUAAAGUUCAGCAUUUUCAAUGACUUUCCUCAAUGCAGCAGGGCCCAUAGACAUAAGGACCUACAUUUAGAAUAUAUGGCAUAGUCAAAACAACAAUAUCAAUAAACGGUAGGGGUAAUGAAGACAACAUUAACCAGCUAGAAGAAUGUUUCUACGCAUGAAUGCAAGGUCAUAAUGAAUGGUAUUAGGAUCUAAAAACACUAAAUUCAAUACAAAAAUUUGCUCAUACAUGUCUGAAGUAUGUUGAUUAAUAUGAGAGAAUGGUUCUCAUACUCUAAUGUGUUCUAACUGUUGAAGCAUUCAAAUUUUACUUUCAAACAUGUUGGAAAUAUGAAUUGAGUCUAUAAGGACUCAAAAACUACAUCACAAAACUGCGACAAAGUAAAUGGUUCCAGAGCUUCAAAGAUUCGAAGAGACGCUUCAUACAUCAUUUUCCACCACAGUACAUCAUUUUCCACCACAGUAUCACCAACGAAAGGUAAUGUCAAUACAGAGUCUAGCGUUAAAUGUGAUUUCUAAUUUCAACAACGCAGCAAUUUAGCAGAACAUAUGAUCUUAAACCCGUUGAAAUGAAACGUGUUAAAUAUCAAAUUUUAAACAUGCUUUGCACGGUUGCAACAGAAAACAGCAGGCACAAUGGAGGCACUAGCAUAUCAGUACAUUAGAAGCAAAGAUUUCAAAAACAAUUGAAUUUAUGGUUUAUAAGUUGCAUGUAACAGAUCCUGUAAAGAAGUUAAUGAAAAAUGAGUCGAAAAUUUGGAUAUUAAACCUCGUUUGCAUCUUUAAAAGAUUCAGCAUUAUUCUUCUUUGGCCAUUUGACUCGCCAACACCUAUUAACAAAAAAAAAAAAAAAAUCUUAGAUUUUGUUGAAUCAUUGUUGAUAUACUUGUACUAAUUGCAUGAUAAACCUUUCUUUCCCUAAGCGGCGGGCAAGUUCUUCAGCCAAAGCUUGACCAGGUGGGUCCCCAUCUGUGGCAAGUAUUAUGCGAGAUACCUAUCAAAAGAAACAAAAGAAAAGGCCGAAAAGCUUUUGCAUCCCAACAAUUUCUUUUUACAAAUCAUUGAUAUAAUAAAACAAACUGUAAUCCGAACAAACCUUUUCAAUGUACUCUUUGCAGUUCCAUAAAUAUUGAUACUUUGUGUCCUAGCUUCAAAGACUGCGUAAUAAGAGCAUUAGAAUCAACACUUCAACGAAAGUUUCAUCAUAAAAUCUAUGAUGUCAAAGACACAGUAGAGGACUGCCUAGAACCAGCACACAUUUGAAAGCCCUCGUAACAUUAGAGGACAAACUAUCCUAAAGUAAAGAGUAAUUUUUUUUUUUUAAAGAUCUAGGAAUAAAUCGGACAAUUAUGUCAGUCGGAAGAAGUAUUAUACAGAAUAUAUAUAAUACUAUUACAAUUGGUAGGUCAACGUGUCAUUCAAAUAAGUCGUGUUAUCCGUGGUUUUCCCAUGUUGCAACUUUCGUAGCAAUUAGGUCGAUCCGUAAAGUAAUUAUUUGAUAUGGAGAGAGAAGAUCAUUGACUCAGCUAACGUUUGAAACAAAUAACAAAGAUAAUAUUGUGGGAAAUGAUGAAAAAAUAACAAUAAUGAUUCUCCCAGGAUGAAAGUCAAAAGGGUCGAGGAAGGUUUGCAUAUAACUCAAUCAAGGUUGAAAAUGCAGAGCACACAAAUAUUGAGGUUAACUGUAGAUAUCUGGGGAAAUAAUAAAAGACAUCAUAAGUGGUUGGUUAAAGAUUUGCAGCAAGACAGAUACCUCUUCAGCAGAAGGCAGCUCUUUCUUUGAGACUUUUGGAGGUGCACCGUCUGGAACACUCGCACAGUUUUUAAAACCAGCUUCUUCCAUUGCAAGCUUAUCAAUUUCACCUUCAACCUUUAUUUAAGAAUAUAAGAAUAAAUAGCACGAAAAGUCAAAUGCAUUGACCAUAGACAACAGAACAAUGAAGAAAUUUAACUUACAAUGAUAAUAUCACUAGCUCCCUUUAUAUCAUCCAGUCCAUAAAAAAUCUUCUGAGUAUUCAUUUCCUGCCCAUCAGUGUUACCAGCUAAAUACUAUGAGACUCAUGACGGUAAAACAUCAGAACUACUUCUAUACUUAAAAAAGGCACAUCAGAAAACCAUAACAGUCCAAUUAGUAGCCUGAGCCAUAUUAUGAAUGGUUGGUGCAGUAAGAGAGAUAUAAUCACAUAGAGCAUCUUACAUGAGUGUUUCUUCUUGGAAAUAUAAACCUUUUCAGGCAUGAAGAAUAACUAACAAUUCAUAUAAACAUACCUGCGGAAAUUUAAAUCUUUCAGGAAUGAAGAAUAACUAACAAUACAUAUAAACAUACCCGCCAAAAUUUCUUAGUAAUAAUCCUAUACUUGCAGUUCACAAGUUCUCCAUUCCUUCGAUAGGUGAAAGCAAUAGCAAUCUGUAUCGAAAUCUUCAUCAGACAUUACUCCAGCAAAAUUAGGAAUUAAAUCAAAGUCAAGUUACUAGAAUAUAACAGUUUAGAAGAGUCUAAACAAUGUUUCUGACAUCCCUCUUCGUCUCUCUAAAGUCUGUUCCCCUGCCCCUCCUCUUCUUUCAGGAGAAGGGCAAAGGGCCCAAGGUCCAGGAGGGAUGUGAAUACAAUGGAAAUGUAAGUACUUCAAUGGCUAGAAAUAAUUCUUUAGCAUGUCAAGACAACCUCGUGAUUGCACACAAAUAUACAUGAACAUUUCUGAAAAUAAAACAACAUCUGCACCUGGGUGCCUCUUCAUUUUUGCAUUACAGAGUUUCUCCGCAGUGUUUCCCCAGAUAUCAUUCGCUCAGCAAAAUAUGCAAGUAGCUGAAACAACAGUCAAAAGGCAUCAACGAGGUUGAAUAUCUUGGUCAGAUAUAGAUAAACCACAAAGAGAACUGGUAUAGGAUCAUAGACAACAAACAUACGGUCUACUUUGAUCUUAACAUCGAUAAGAGGCACAAAAUUUUACAGUGCCAAACAUGCAGCAAGAACAAUAUUAGCAAAUAGAUUCUACUUGCCAGUGAUUCGUAUGUGAGAGAAUGUCCAAACAUGGACGACAAAUAAUAAUAACUACCUUACUGCACACAGGUUCCAGUUCCAAACUCUCCUCUGUGAUUUCUAUGAAUGCUUGUUUUACUUUGCCGAUUCUAUUCAUUUUUGCAUAAGUUGAUUUUACAUCAGCAAAGGCCUACAAGCAAAAUAACCAGUAGACCACAUGAGUUGUGCACCAUCAAUACUCAGUAGUCAGUUAAGCAACUUCAUUUAAAGCAUACCCUUGUAGUGCCUCUCCACCCACAUUUAGCCCGAAAGCAGUUCCACAUUGCUGCAGCACUAUGAUAUAUAGGUGUAUAGUACUAUACUUCUGUUAAAAGAAAGGAAAACACAGAACACAAAGUAUAACAGAAACUUACCUAUCUUCUGUGAUGUGAAGAGAUAAGCUUUUCUCUUCUGAAUCUCCACCUUUGCACUACAAUGCCAACAAUGAGGGGACUCAAGACAAUGAGACAGACAACUAAAUGAGAACAAUCUGGUAUGUGGUAGAUACAAAUGCAGUCCCGUUGACAAAAACAUAUGAAAUUAACUAAUUUAUGUCUGUUGGCAUGUUUGACAUAGAUAUAUAGUACUUGUCUCUUCAUAUACAGUAGUAGUGAAAAUGUUAAAUUACUAAAUCGCAAGAGCUUUUUAUAGCUGAAUGAACUGAAACAUGACAAGUCUCUCGGAAAAAUAAUAUUCAAAAGCUUGUACAUUCGGACACACUAAACCACAGUAUUGCCCUGGCUUACAAGCAUCGCCAUCAAUCCCGAUAUCUAUUGCCCUGGCUUACAAGCAUCGCCAUCAAUCCCGAUAUCCUCCAACUUCUGUUUUAACAUCCUCAGCUGCUCCGGAUCUAGCACUUGCUGCUCUGGGGUCUCCAAAACAACUACAGAAACUCGACAAAAUUAAUAAAAUCAUUCUUCAAAAUCCAUUAAAAACGGAACAAACAAAACUAGCAACGUACAAUAAUCUUCAAAUAUGGUACCACUUCUUGAUGCUGUUGCAGUGGAUUUAUGAUAUCACGUUUUUGUUUAACUUUCUAAAAAAUUCAAAAUUUUUUUUAAUUUUUUUUCAAACAACACAAAGAAUUCAGCUUUACCCCUCUUUUAAUCCAACUAAUGCAUAUAUGAAAUGUAAACAUAUUAUACCCCCAUACUUAAGUACCAAAUUAUAUGAACAAACUUAAAUACCAAAUGAAUUUCGAAAAGAAAGUUUCUUAACAAUAACGCUCUAAAAAUGUGCUCUCUGCUUAACUAGUUGUACCUUCAUCUGACAUAGUCGAUUUUCAAAGAUAUUUAACACUGCAAAUAUAUUAGAAGUGAACAAAACAUCAAAAUAGAAAAGAAAAGAAAUAGAAUAAAAAAACCUGGUCUGGGUUUAGGCAUAAGAGCAUGGGGGUAAUAACUCAACCCAGAGGUCAUCCGAUGAAUUGGAGAUAUGGGUCUCGGAGAAGAAGUAGAAAAUGCUAUAUUUUUCCUAUGAGUAGAAAAGAACUGAGGUUGCGAAGAUGAAGAAAAAUGGGCCACAUAUGUAUGUGUAUGCGUCCCGGGCGUGAGUGUAGACUUAAGAAGAAGCAUGUGUUUGGAGCCCAUGAAAAUUACUCUGUUGCAGUUGGAAUUGGUGCUCAAAAAUAGUCUGCUCUGAGGUAAAAGAAGCAUAUUUUGAGCCGCAAGGGUUUCUUGUUAUUGACAGAAAGACGAAGAAGUAGAUGCUUGCAAUUCCAUGGAUAAGAAAGAAAAGGCAGCGAAAAAGGCUUAAGAAGUGUUUACUUCGAUUUUACACUCUUGUGGGCGACUGGUUUUCUCUGUUCUUUUUGCAUUCUUGACUCUCCUACAAUAAGCGUGUUUCCUCAGUAUUUAACACCAUGUUUGACAGAAUUUUCUUAUUUUCUGAAUAUUUCAUUAUUUUGGAUCAGAUGCUUCUUUCUUAGUUAUAAAUAAAAUGCUAAUAUGAUCAGGUUUUCUAUCAAAUCAAGUACCAUAUAUGUAGAACUUUUAUUAAAAAAUUAAAUAUUUAUUUUAAAAUAUAUCAUUCUAAUAUGAUCAGUUUUACUUUCAAAUCAAGUACUGUAUGUUGAACUUUUUUUCAAAAAAUUGAUUAUUUAUUUUAAAAUAUAUAUUAUACUUAUAAUUAAUUAUUUUAAUUUCCACCAAACUAUAAUAUCCGCUUCUUUGGUUUAGGUAUGAUAACUCCUAUGGGCGAAUCCAGACAGUUCGAACUGUGGAGUCAAAAAUGAAAUUUUUUUCGAACAACGUAUCAUUAGCUAAAAUAAGACCAUAUGCUACUACAAUAAGAUUUGGGUUUGGGCAUUGGGCUAGGGAAAUUAAUUGGAUUGGCACACUACUUUGACAGAAAAUUACGUUUUAAGCAAGGGGGAAAAAAAAGGAAAAUCCAAAAAAUUGUGAGGUCAUUUGACCCCACAUGACCCCAUGUGGGUCUGCCAGUGAUAACCCCGAUGGAGACUUCAAGAAAUUGCAUAUGCUAAUAAAAUUUGAAAAUUAGGUUUGUAGUUAUCAAAUUUGAUCUCGACAUUUAUUUGGCCAAGCCUUCAAGUUAUCAAUUCAUUUGUCAAAUCGUUGGAUUGUUUGUUGGACCGACGUGUUUAAAAUCUAGUAGUAGUCCAAUUUUUAAACUUCGACAAAUGAACAAAAAAUAGUUAAAUUUUUUGUUUAUUAUAAUGUUCAUUUUUGUUCGAUAUUACAGAACGAUCUAGAAAAUUACAAUAGCUCAUUUUUUCAAAACUCAUUUUCAACCAAAAUUUUUUUAAUAAAAUAAUAUUACACGCAAACUCAAAAACGUCCUUAAUUUUUAAUCACACAUUCUCUAUAAAUCUACUAUUCAAAAUACAUUCUUUCCCUCAAAAUAGGGUCAAACAAGGGUUAAAUGAACAAUAUGUGGCUAAUUAAGUACAUUCAUCUGAAGAAACUCCCAACGACAGAUAAAAAAUAGCAUUCCUAAAGUCUUACGUGUUAUUUGUACUUUUAAUUCUCUAUCUUGGAUAUAAUUCAGAAAUUGAUGCUUCAUUUACAGAGAAGGAUAUCCAAGCCGACGUGGGUUUGUAAGAAUCUUGCACUUUGGGCAAGCAUUGUGUUCUACUACGAAGAAAAAAUGCAGGUUGACGAGGAAGAGUAAGAGUAGCUGAAUGAUUAUUGAGUGUCAAAAGUAUUGAAGCCAUGUUUGGUCUUUCAUUAGCAUCUUCUUGAACACACAGUAAGCCAAUUUGAAUGCAUCGAAUUACUUCAUUCCUAACAUAUGUGUUUUGUAAUUUUAUAUCCAUCAAUUCCAAGGGUCUACUGUCUCUCCAAAGCUUCCAAGCCUGCACAUCAAAAGUCGUUGAACUUUUUAAACUCUAAUCCUAGUUACCAUAUUAAUAAAAACCAAAAAAAUAAAUAAAUAAAAUAAAAUAAAAUGCAAAACUACUCCUGAAGCUCUAUGAUUGUUAAGAAAUAUGGCGUCCAGAAAUAAUUUGGAGUUUGCACUUACAUAGCUUAUGAGAUCCUCAGCGCCAUCUGAUUGGUAGAAGCUGCUAUUCUUUCUGCCGCUUAUGAUUUCCAAAAUAAGGAUGCCAAAGCUAAAAACAUCAGAUUUUACAGAGAAGUUUCCAUACAUUGCAUACUCUGGAGACAUGUAACCACUACAAGCCAAAAAAAGAAAAAUAUAUCUUGAGCUAAUAAACUUAAGAAGGUAUUAGUAUUUGAUUCUAAUAAAAUCCACUUAUUACUUAAUUUGGCAGAUUGAUCAAAUAUAGAAUAGAUAUAGUGUAGAACUUACUAUGUCCCUACAAUCCUACUUGUAUUUCCUUGAGACUGAUCAACGUCGAAAAUUCUUGCCAUGCCAAAAUCUGAUAUUUUGGGAUUCAUAUUUCCAUCUAAUAAUAUAUUGCUAGCUUUGAGAUCACGGUGUAUAAUUCGUACAGGAGAAUCUUCAUGAAGGUAAACCAAUCCGCGUGCUAUUCCUCGUAUGAUCUUGUAACGUUUUGACCAAUCCAACAUUUGUCGCUUUUCUGCAUCUUUACAUCCAUUUAACAUAGUUUUCAAAGGCAGGUCUCAGAAAUGAAAACUAAAAGGCCUUAACUAGAUAAUUUAUAUUAUGUAUAGGGCUAAGAAAAAAAUCCAUCAACCCCAACACUUGUGGGGCUCCAUCCUGAGCAAGACGGGGAUUACUCGUUAAAUUGGAUAUUUGGGUAAGGGACGGA